rnacentral:rRNA from 1 species
UGGGGAAUAUUGCACAAUGGAGGGAACUCUGAUGCAGCGACGCCGCGUGAACGCAGAAGGCUUUCGAGUCGUAAAGUUCUUUUAUAUGGGAAGAUAAUGACGGUACCAUAAGAAGAAGCCCCGGCUAACUACGUGCUAGAAGCCGCGGUAAUACGUAGGGGGCUAGCGUUGUCCGGAAUCACUGGGCGUAAAGGGUUCGCAGGCGGAAAUGCAAGUCCGGUGUAAAAGGCAGUAGCUUAACUACUGUAAGCAUUUGAAACUGCAUAUCUUGAGAAGAGUAGAAGUAAGUGGAAUUUUUAGUGUAGCGGUGAAAUGCGUAGAUAUUAAAAAGAAUACCGGUGACGGAGGCGACUUACUGGGCUCAUUCUGACGCUGAGGAACGAAAGCGUGGGUAGCAAACAGG